AUCUGCGCCGUGGUCUCUUCAGAAGUCUUUUCCUUGCAGGUUUUCCGACUAAACUUCUGAAUGUAUUUCUCAUCUCUCUUAUGCGUGCUGCAGUGCUAUUCCCUUAGUUAUUCAAGAGUCUGCAGUUAGCGUGCCCAGAAAUGCUUUUUUAAUCGAUCAUCAUAAUUUCUUGUUACUUCCAGGAACUCGUUCACUGUUUCCAUUUACGGGGUCAACUGAAAUUCAUCUCCGAUGCUGGUCGGGGGGAGGGGGUGACCAAACACUGGUUCUGCUGGGGCAGGAGGCGUAUGUCACAGCACGUGAGAACUGGUACACACCAACCGCCAGCGAAAUACAUACCAGCGUCUGGAAUCUUAUUGAAGAGCUGCUACGUCAAACCGACUCCAGGGACCUCCAGACUACACAAGGUGCCAGCCAAAGUAAGUUUUCAAAGUUCUGUUAUCUUAACAGGUAGAGCUCAGCGCAUGACGCGUCUGAUUACAAGCCUGAGGAUCGAAUAUCAGGACGUAUUUAUCAAUAUCUUCUUUUACCUUACACUGUCUAAAAAGUACAGAUUUUUAAGGAAUGAAGACAUUAGUUCACAUUAUUAUUACUUCCGUGUGCUUAAUACGAGUUAAGUCGAAUGGAUUACAUUGCAGAAACGACUUAAUGCUUGAA